rnacentral:tRNA from 2 species
GCGGGGUUCUCCUAGCCUGGUAGGGAGCAGGCCUGCUAAGUCUGUGGUCCGUAGGGCCACGCGGGUUCAAAUCCCGCACCCCGCGCCA